rnacentral:rRNA from 1 species
UGGGGAAUAUUGGACAAUGGGCGCAAGCCUGAUCCAGCCAUGCCGCGUGAGUGAUGAAGGCCCUAGGGUUGUAAAGCUCUUUCACCGGUGAAGAUAAUGACGGUAACCGGAGAAGAAGCCCCGGCUAACUUCGUGCCAGCAGCCGCGGUAAUACGAAGGGGGCUAGCGUUGUUCGGAUUUACUGGGCGUAAAGCGCACGUAGGCGGACUAUUAAGUCAGGGGUGAAAUCCCGGGGCUCAACCCCGGAACUGCCUUUGAUACUGGUAGUCUUGAGAUCGGGAGAGGUGAGUGGAAUUCCGAGUGUAGAGGUGAAAUUCGUAGAUAUUCGGAGGAACACCAGUGGCGAAGGCGGCUCACUGGCUCGAUACUGACGCUGAGGUGCGAAAGCGUGGGGAGCAAACAGG